GGCACGGUGGUGCAGUGGUUAGCACUGCCGCCUCACAGCAAGAAGGUUGUUGGUUCAAAUUCGGCCUGGUGCCU